UGCCCCAUGGCUUAGUUGGCUAUAGCGUCCGACUGUUAACAUGGGUUGAUGAUCGGAAGGUCGAGAGUUCGAGCCUCUCUGGGGCAG